rnacentral:rRNA from 1 species
CCUACGGGUGGCAGCAGUGGGGAAUAUUGCGCAAUGGGCGAAAGCCUGACGCAGCGACGCCGCGUGAGGGAUGAAGGUCUUCGGAUCGUAAACCUCUGUCAGCAGGGAAGAACGGUCACUGUGCUAAUUAGCAGUGAAUUGACGGUACCUGCCAAGGAAGCACCGGCUAACUCCGUGCCAGCAGCCGCGGUAAUACGGAGGGUGCGAGCGUUAAUCGGAAUUACUGGGCGUAAAGCGCGCGUAGGCGGUAUGUCAAGUCUAGGGUGAAAUCCACGCGCUCAACGUGGGAACUGUCUUUGAAACUGGCAGACUGGAGUGAGUGAGAGGAUAGGGGACUUCAAGGUGUAGGGGUGAAUGCGG